rnacentral:tRNA from 1 species
GCUCCUGUCAUCUAACUGGCAAGGUGCCCGGCCGAUUACCGGGUCAUCUAGGUUCGAAUCCUAGCAGGAGUACCA